CUGGGCUCACAGUGGCCACCCAGAUGCCUGUAGGAAGCCUACAAGAAAGACCCAAGUUCAAUAGCACUUUCCUCACUUAUGCUUCCCAGCAGCUGGUAUCUAGAGUCAUACUGUCUCCAACACUGGAGGCAGCAUAUAGAAUACAAGACCAUAAGAAGAGCCCAGCAUGAUCAGGCCAAAAGCAUCCUGUUCUCAUAUUGAUGAAGCCAAGAUCGCUCCCCUGCCUCAAAUAUCCAACCUCCAAGCUUCUCAGUGGGGUCUGCCAGCUCUGGUCCUCGUUCCUCCCAGAGGCCCACAGCCCCGUCUGAGCACACCCAGCCCAACUUAGGACGUACUACCGCCUACCCACCUCCGCAGAGAACUCGUCUACAGGGCAUUCGUGGGAAUGAAGAUCAGCUGUCUACGGCAACCUCCACAGCACCUCACUCUUCUACCCGUGGGUGGGGAACAACUGGCAACCUGCCGAGGCCGUUCUAUGUUCCCCUGGCAGCUCAGUCCAGACAACGUCCUGCUGCCAACCCCAUGGAACAAUUGAAUGGGAACUCCUGCUGCCAGCCCGUUCAGCAGCGAGAGAUGCAGCCUCCCAGACAAGGACCUAUCUUGUCAGCAGCUUGCAAUAUGGGAGAAAACUCCGCCUUGCAACGUGAAGCCAAUACCUUCAGAAGAGGAGAAUCCCAUUCCCCUACAAAUCUUGACACCUGCCCCUCCCAAUGGGCAUUACACAUCUAGACCAAGGAAUCUGAAAGCCAUAGAUGUGGUCUCAAAAGUGGCAAGUCUCUCUGCCAAGAAAAAGCAGAUCUCCCAGGCUUACCACUGCCAGGGGGUUCCUGAACAGCCCAGAGGUCAGUAGAGCCAAGGGAGCAGCCAUCAUUUCAUUUGCAUGCCUCCAGCUCCUGCCGGUUCCUGGAAUGACCCAGCCUCCAACGCAGACCCUCAAAUGGCCAAAGAAAAGGGAAGACGUGAUGGUAAUGCAGCAUACACACCUAAGCGCAAAAGAAAGUGUCUUGGAUUAGACUCUUCAGCUAUCAGGUACAUCCCCAGGAUGCCCCCAGAGCAAGGGAAGGGCAAUGUGAGAUCUGACUACAGACAGGCUGAUCAUCAAAUUCCAAGCACAUCAGCAGAUCUGAACUUGCCAGAGAUUAAUGCUGGACGAAACAUCAUUGCCACUAAAGCGCAGCCUUUUCCAAAAAUCUCCACGACCACCCUGGAGCUAGAGGCAGAAUGCGAGCCAGUGCAAAUGUCAUGGCAAAUGACCUUGCCAAGCUCCAUGGCAAAGCCAGUGCCAAUCUCUUUCCCAAAGCCACUGCCUUAUCCAAUGGUCUCCACCCAGAGGAAUCCAAACCAUCUUAUCUCCAGUUUCCUGAAGGAGACAGGAAGAGAAUGCAGACUGGUGCUACUGGGAAAACGUUCUAUCCCUUUAGCCGGCCACUUGCUCUGGAGCAAAACAGCACCUGUGAAGCAACACCGUCAGGAGAGCAGACUCUGGGCACUGAGCAGCCUUUGUCUCCACCCUAUGAAGGGGCAACAUUCAUCCCCUGGCAACCACCUCCAGAUGACCUAGAAGAAUCCUCCCCUCUAACUUGCCAGCAACGAUUGGCAAGAGGGUGGAUGAAAAGGCGAGCUCAGCGGGAGAGGCAGGAAGAUGCCCACUGGACAUCACUGGGGAGAUUAGAGCAUCCUGUGGACUGGGAAGAAGAAACGGGCACACUUAAUGAGUUCGGCUGCCCGUGGCAUCAUUGAAAAGCUAAACUUCUCACAACCAACAAUCUGACAUCUAUUGGGAGCAUGGUUGCAGAGUGAUGCAUGUGAUGGCCAUAAUCCAAGAGAGCUCUGCGGUGGGUCUGAUUUAAAACUUCCCCAUCUGCCUUAAUGUAUCUCUCCAUCUUUUAUAGCAAGUAUAGGUCACAUGAGAUCAUCAAGUAGAAAUGCAAAACACCUAUUCAGACUUUGUUGUAGAAAACUCUUUUAUUUCUAUCCCAGCUAAAGAGACCAGUGUAAUUAGGAGGGUGCCAGCAUGGGAGCCAAUUAUAGCUUCAUGUGUGGGAGCACUGGAGGCCUUGUUUUACAGCUUUAUAAAUUGCUCAGUGAGCAUAAAGUUGGGCAUAAAGUGGGUUUGAAAGUGACUUGGGAACGGGAACUUGAGGUGAUAUUGACAAUGCAGAUUGGAACCAUUUGGGAUGCAAACCUUCCUUUCAGUUUAUUUCCGCUCAAACCAGGGCUCUGAUACUUAAAUUAGUGUAGCAGUGGUACCUUACCCUUAGGCACCCCUUUCUCUUAUUAGUCAAACUUUGUCUGCUGUCUGUCAGUGAGGCUGUAAUGCUAUUGGGACCUACCACCAUAUGUGGUAGAAGUGUGAGAAAGUGGCAGAUUUCACCAAGUCAUUAGCAGGGCUCUGGACCUGGCCUUACUGGGUUUAUGCACAGGGUUAAACAGGGGCCUCUAUCCUGUUCUCACCAGCCUCCUAAGGAGACCGGAGACUUCCCAGCAGUAACACACAGGAGGGCAACACCAAAGCCAUAUUCAGUGCCAGUCCAAUGUCAGAGUGCAGAACAACAGCAACAGCAGGGCCAGGCAAAAAGCAAUGUCAGUGUGUUCUGGGGGCCGGGCAAGUCAGCUUCAGAGUAGUCCAGGAUCAAGCCUGGAGUAGGGUUACCAGGUCAGAAGCAUCCCAAACCCUGAGAUCUCAGGGGUGGGGCCUAGUGAUGUGAUGGGGCAGGCCCUCAGAGCCGGCUGCAUCCUAUGCGGAGGAUGAGGAACAACUUCUUCCUCCUCAUCCUCUGAUGGGAUGAAGCCGGUUCCGAAAACAUUGUGUGUGCACAAGCACAACAGGAGGUCUAUAUCUCCCCAGGGAAAGGAGAUUUUGGCCCACUGGUGCACACACACACACCAGCCUUGGAGCCAGUUUAAUUUGAUUGGGGGGGAUGGAGAUAGUUCUUCCUUGCCCCUCCCCCCCAAUCAAAUGCAACCAACUACAAACCUGGGGGUGCAUCAACAGGGCCAGAUCUCCCCAGGAAGGGAGAUUUGAUCCCAUUGUCAACCCCCCACCAGCUAGAAAUCCAAAGAUUGGGGUGACUCACCUGGAGACCCAGGGAGGACCCCCAAAAACCAGAGUUUCUGGGUGAAAUCUAGAGACCUGGUAAUAGUAGCCUGGAGUCAACAUGUCAGAUACAAAACUGGUGCCUAGAUGUUUUCCCAACAACUCUUCCAGCCUAGUAAUGGGGUUUCUAUGCUGGAGCUGCUGGACCCAACCCCAAACCUCAGCUGAUUCCUAUUAAUCCCCUUCAGCCAGACCUUUACUCCCAAGGAGUCCAGGCCUGCAGUCGGGCACUCUUCUGAAUGGGCUAGGACUCCAGCAGGCGUUUGAGGCGAUGCCUGGCUGAGGAACCAGGCUGAGGAAGAGCAGUCUGCACCCAGGGCGAUCUCGGCUUCUGACAUCAAGGCUGACUGGGUCCCAAGCCCAAAGGUGAGGUGUUUCCUCAAACGCCAGUUGGAGACCCGGCCCAUCCAGAGGAGUGCCUGACUGCAGGCCAGGAUUCCUCCUGAGUAAAGGACUCCCCAGGAAUAUGGGUCUGGCUGAAGGGGAUAGGAGUCAACUGAGGUUUUGGGUGUGGUUCCAGCAGCCCCAGCUCAAAAACCCCAGUGCUGGGAUAGAAUUGCUACAGGGCCAAUGUUUAUAUUGCUGCCCUAUAUGGGGCUUGGGUGCUGAUCUCGUGGUGAUUUCAGGCCUGGCCCUAGACCACCCUGGGCCUGCUUCUAGCCUUGCCUUGCCCUUCUUUUCCCUUGAUCUUCUAUGCUUGCUUUGCCUGUGGACUGCUCUGACCUUGUUUCUUCCUUGACCCUUUGGUUGUUGUGCUCGGACUCUGAUGUUGGACUGGCCCUCGAUGCUGCCUUGGUGUUGCCCUCAUUUGUGUUAUUGCUGGGAAAUCUCUUGGCUUCUCAGGCGCCUGGUGAGAACAGGACAUCACACCUUGUGGUCCUACACUUCUCGUCAUCUGCCUUGUGCAGUUGGGCGUGGGGGAAGGCAAAACAGCAUUAAGGUUUUAGUGAAUAAUGGUGCCGUCUUGUGGGCUUGUCAGCCUUCUUACUCUUACUGGUUGUUGCAGUUUUGAUCUUCUUCUGUAUUGAUCUUCUUCUGUAUUUUUGUA